GCCCCGGUAGCUCAGUGGAUAGAGCAACCGCCUCCUAAGCGGUAGGACGAAGAUUCCUUUUCGGGGCACCA
rnacentral:tRNA from 1 species